ACUUACCAAUGCCAGGUGGCGACAAAAUAUCUGAGGAGGAAAAUAUCGUUCCCUGUCCUUCUCUUUUUUCCUUCUUUCAGAUCAGCCAAACCCUCGAGCACUUUUCAAAACCCUAACCCUGAAUCUGAAACUAUCAUCGAUUUCAACCAACCGUGAUGAAUCGUUACGACGACAGAAUUGUGGACGCCGGUUCUUACCAUCAGCGUCGGAGUGAUUUUAUGGGAUUACCGCCUACGGCGGGACCCCCUGCGGUAGGUGCUGCUCCAAACUACGUCCGCGGUGGACCGGCUCCAUUCAGAGGUCCUCCAGCACCACCACCGUCUUUUGUCGGCGGUGGAAGAGCUGCUGGAAGUGGAUACCCUCCUUUUGAACCUGGUGUUAGGGGAGGUUUUAAUAUUGGCGCAGGUGGGGGUGGAAGGGGAGGGAGAGGGUUCGGCUCUGGGAGAGAUGGUGGUGGAAGAAUGAGCAAUGGAGGCUUUGAUGGUGGUAGAGACAGAGGAGGUAGAGGUUUUAAUUCAAGUCGCGGUGGCAGCAGAGUUGGUAGAGGUUUUGACAGAGGAUAUCAGGGCGGUGGGCGUGAGGGAGGGAGAGGUGGGCGAGGUGGAGGGAGGAGCUUUGAUGGUGGUCGUGGUGGUGGUAGAGGAGGAAGAGGAAGUGGCUCUAAAGGGGACUUGGAUAGUAUAGCUUUACCAAAGCAAGAUUUUGGCAACUUGGUACCAUUUGAGAAGAACUUCUACAUCGAAUUUCCUUCUGUAAGGGACAUGACUGAUCAAGAGGUGGCAGUUUACCGUGGUCGGAGGGAGAUUACUGUUGAAGGACAUGAUGUCCCAAAGCCAAUCCGGAUGUUUCAUGAGGCAGGUUUUCCUGGUUACUGUCUAGAUGUUAUUUCCAGACUGGGAUUUGUUGAGCCAACACCAAUUCAGGCCCAAGGAUGGCCUAUGGCUUUAAAGGGAAGAGAUCUAAUUGGGAUUGCAGAGACUGGCUCUGGCAAGACUUUGUCAUAUUUGCUGCCUGCUGUAGUCCAUGUUUCUGCACAACCUCCAUUGGUUCAUGGAGAUGGUCCCAUUGUAUUAGUAUUGGCUCCUACUCGAGAAUUGGCUGUACAAAUCCAACAAGAAGCUGGUAAAUUUGCUUCACAUUCUAAUAUAAGAAGCACUUGCAUAUAUGGUGGUGCCCCUAAGGGUCCACAGAUUCGUGAUCUUCAAAGAGGGGUUGAAAUUGUCAUUGGCACACCUGGUCGGUUGAUAGAUAUGCUAGAAGCUCGUCAAACAAACUUGAAAAGAGUGACUUACCUUGUUUUGGAUGAAGCUGAUCGUAUGUUAGAUAUGGGAUUUGAGCCUCAAAUCAGAAAAAUCAUUGCCCAAAUCAGACCAGAUAGACAAACUCUCUAUUGGAGUGCAACAUGGCCUAAAGAGGUCGAGAGUUUGGCAAGACAGUUCUUACGCAAUCCAUAUAAGGUGAUCAUCGGAUCCCCUGUUCUGAAAGCCAAUCAGGCAAUAAAACAGGUUAUUGAAGUUGUAACAGACAUGGAGAAGUACAGCAGACUUAUUGGAGUUCUGAAAGAAAUGAUGGAUGGAAGCAGAAUCCUAAUAUUUGUAGAAACAAAAAAAGGAUGUGAUCAAGUGACAAGACAACUUAGAAUGGAUGGAUGGCCUGCAUUAUCCAUCCAUGGUGAUAAAAGCCAAAGUGAAAGGGAUUGGGUGUUGGCUGAGUUUAAAAGUGGAAGGAGUCUUAUAAUGACAGCCACUGAUGUUGCUGCACGUGGUCUUGGUAGGAUGAAAUUGUUUUUAGGUCAUUAAACUUAUGGGAAUGGGAGUCGCCGGCUGCUGUCUACUUUUACCUGACAAAAUAAUUUGUGGUUUGGGUGCCAAAGGGGAAGGGAGUCACUAAUUCCCACAAAUACUCACAGGAACAUCAUCUAUACUAUACAGGAGGAGCCUGCAUCUGCAUCAUUUCCACUUCUCUUUUUCAGCAUCUCAUUUCCAGUAUGGAUAUGCUAAUCCUUUAUAAAGAAUUAGGAAAAAACUUGCAUCUCAUCCCAUGAUACCCUAGGAAGCUUGGAUUUUCUAAGGUUAACUGAAAUAUGGUUCACUUAGGUUUAGGUUUUUUAAAACUUUGAGGUUAAGCCAAACAUGAACACCCUUAGGAUUCUUUGGUAUAAAUUAUAAUCCAACAAAACAUAGAUGUUAAGAACUACUAACUAUGAAUAGCAACAUACUUUAUUCUUUUUACCAAUUUUUUACCCAUAAUAGCAACAUUCCUUUAUUUCUUUAAUCUUCACUAAUAAUAGCAAUGUGCUGCUAUUUGGGGUUAGAUGUUGCUACUAUAGGUAAAAAGUAUAAACAAAAGGCUAAAAUGGGUAGAAAAAACGUAAGUAUGGGUAAAAAAAUAGAGUAUGUUGUCUAAAUUGGUAAAAGAGUAAAGUAUGUUGCUAUUUUUUUGUAAAUUAUCCUAUACAUUAUUACUUUUGUUUUAUGUCAUGCAUUCAUGCUGCUGUUGACACUGAAGUCAUAGUUUGACAAAGUGUCAUGUAGUUGCUGCAUUAUUAUUAUUAUUAUUAUUAUAAUCUUUUUGUUGUUAAGGGGGUGUUUGGAUGUGCUUCUAGUUCUAAAGCUGAUGUCGAUUUCAUAGUCAAAUUUAGCUGAUUGAGGUAAAUGUGUACUUGAUUUAAGCAAUUGAUUGUGAAUUGCAAUAAUCACUUUGCAGGCACACAUCUAAACAUAAACACCCCUCUUUAUAUGUCUGAAAAAUUAAUUUGAGUAGCAACCUUAAGUUCAUUCUGUUCUACACAGAAUUGGACUCUCCUUAUUAAGGGCUGAAAUGUAAGAAUUAAAACGUACUUGUACUUCCAUUUCUUUUUUCAUUACAACAUAGUGAACUUAUAAUUUUUAUUUACUACAAGGGAUUGUAAAAAUCUAGCCAACAUAGCAUUGUACUUGUUAAAGUAGAAUGCUGUAAUAGGUAGAGUAGAAAUAGUAGUGAUUUUUAGAUAUUUGAUCGCCUCGCGGCCCAUCCACGGUUAUGAGGUGACAGCCCGGUUGACUCAGAGAAACAAAUGGUUGGAAUUGGAAUUGGAAUUGGAUUAUGAGCUUUGAAAGAAAAGCAGGGAAUGAGUGGGAUAAGAUGUGAAGGACAUAAAAUGCGUGAUCAAUUAUGAUUUCCCAUCAAGCCUCGAAGACUAC